rnacentral:rRNA from 1 species
UACAGAGGGUGCAAGCGUUAAUCGGAAUUACUGGGCGUAAAGCGCACGUAGGUGGCUGGGUAAGUUGGAUGUGAAAUCCCCGGGCUUAACUUGGGAAUUGCAUUCAAGACUGCCUUGCUAGAGUGUGGAAGAGGGAAGCGGAAUUCCUGGUGUAGCGGUGAAAUGCGUAGAUAUCAGGAGGAACACCUGUGGUGUAAACAGCUUACUGGACCAUUUCUGACGCUGAGACACGAAAGCGUGGGUAGCAAACAGG